UACGGAGGGGGCUAGCGUUGUUCGGAAUUACUGGGCGUAAAGCGCACGUAGGCGGCUUUGUAAGUUAGAGGUAAAAGCCCGGAGCUCAACUCCGGAACUGCCUUUAAGACUGCAUCGCUAGAAUUGUGGAGAGGUGAGUGGAAUUCCGAGUGUAGAGGUGAAAUUCGUAGAUAUUCGCAAGAACACCAGUGGCGAAGGCGGCUCACUGGCCCGGUACUGACGCUGAGGUGCGAAAGCGUGGGGAGCAAACAGG
rnacentral:rRNA from 1 species